GACGAACCGUGCGAACGUUGUUCGGAAUCACUGGGCUUAAAGGGCGCGUAGGCGGGCUGUCAGGUCCGGGGUGAAAGCACACGGCUUAACCGUGUAAUUGCCUGGGAUACCGGCAGUCUGGAGGAGGGUAGGGGCAUGUGGAACUUCCGGUGGAGCGGUGAAAUGCGUUGAUAUCGGAAGGAACGCCGGUGGCGAAAGCGACGUGCUGGGCCCUUCCUGACGCUGAGGCGCGAAAGCCAGGGGAGCAAACGGG
rnacentral:rRNA from 1 species